CUGAAAGCAUCUAAGCACGAAACUUGCCCCGAGAUGAGUUCUCCCUUGUCCCUUGAGGACACUAAAGGAACGUUGAAGACUACGACGUUGAUAGGUCGGGUGUGUAAGCGUAGCGAUACGUUGAGCUAACCGAUACUAAUGAACCGUGAGGCUUAACCUU
rnacentral:rRNA from 1 species